GUUAGCAAUGGGGAGCCACUGAAGUUUCCUUGGUAGAUGACUAACAGGCUCUGAGAGUAUCUCAAGGAAGAUUAAUCUGGCAGCAUUAAAUCAAUUUUGAAAAGUUUUUUGAGCAUGCAACUUUCAGGCUACAAAUAAUUACACCAAGGAACAAGGGAUGUAAAUCCAGAUGUACAGGAAAAAUCCAUUGUGGCAAACUUUUGAUUCAAAAGAGAGAAGGACAAAGGAAAACUAGAG
rnacentral:lncRNA from 1 species